rnacentral:misc_RNA from 1 species
GCAAACUUGGUCAUUUAGAGGAAGUAAAAGUCGUAACAAGGUUUCCGUAGGUGAACCUGCGGAAGGAUCAUUAUUGAAUACAUUUGGUUUGGGGUUGCUGCUGGCUUUCAGGAGCAUGUGCACACCCCUUCCACUCUUAAUCCCCUGUGCACUUUGUGUAGAUCUGAAUACUUUUCGAGUACCAGUUCUGGAUUCGGCCUGAGGACUGCUGCGUUGAGACAGCCAGCUUUUCUUGUCUUUCAGAUCUAUUCAUUCUUAUACCCCAGACAAUGUAUCAGAAUGCUGUUUUCAGGCUUUUUUUUUUAAGGCCUUUAAAAGUAAAUACAACUUUCAACAACGGAUCUCUUGGCUCUCGCAUCGAUGAAGAACGCAGC